rnacentral:rRNA from 1 species
UACGUAGGGGGCAAGCGUUGUCCGGAAUUAUUGGGCGUAAAGAGCGUGUAGGCGGUCCGGUAAGUCAGCUGUGAAAGUCAAGGGCUCAACCCUUGAAAGCCGGUUGAUACUGUCGGGCUAGAGUCCGGAAGAGGCGAGUGGAAUUCCCGGUGUAGCGGUGAAAUGCGCAGAUAUCGGGAGGAACACCAAUGGCGAAGGCGGCAUCCUGGACCGAUAUUGACGCUGAUGCGCGAAAGCCAGGGGAGCAAACGGG